UACGGGGGGGGCAAGCGUUGUUCGGAAUUACUGGGCGUAAAGGCUCGUAGGCGGCCAACUAAGUCAGACGUGAAAUCCCUCGGCUUAACCGGGGAACUGCGUCUGAUACUGGAUGGCUUGAGUUUGGGAGAGGGAUGCGGAAUUCCAGGUGUAGCGGUGAAAUGCGUAGAUAUCUGGAGGAACACCGGUGGCGAAGGCGGGUCUCUGGGCCGAAACUGACGCUGAGGAGCGAAAGCGUGGGAGCGAAACAGGAUAGAUACC
rnacentral:rRNA from 1 species